GAUGAACGCUGGCGGCGUGCCUAAUACAUGCAAGUCGAACGAAACUUCUUUAUCACCGAGUGCUUGCACUCACCGAUAAAGAGUUGAGUGGCGAACGGGUGAGUAACACGUGGGCAACCUGCCCAAAAGAGGGGGAUAACACUUGGAAACAGGUGCUAAUACCGCAUAACCAUAGUUACCGCAUGGUAACUAUGUAAAAGGUGGCUAUACUACCGCUUUUGGAUGGGCCCGCGGCGCAUUAGCUAGUUGGUAGGGUAAAGGCUUACCAAGGCAAUAAUGCGUAGCCGAAUUGAGAGGUUGAUCGGCCACAUUGGGACUGAGACACGGCCCAAACUCCUACGGGAGGCAGCAGUAGGGAAUCUUCCACAAUGGGCGAAAGCCUGAUGGAGCAACGCCGCGUGGGUGAAGAAGGUCUUCGGAUCGUAAAACCCUGUUGUUAGAGAAGAAAGUGCGUGAGAGUAACUGUUCACGUUUCGACGGUAUCUAACCAGAAAGCCACGGCUAACUACGUG
rnacentral:rRNA from 1 species